ensembl:snRNA U4 U4 spliceosomal RNA
GGGCAUGUGCAGUGGCAGUAUCAUAGCCAAUGAAGUUAAUCUGAGGUGUGAUUAUUGCUAGUUGAAAACUUUUCCCUUCUCUAGUAAGCCAGAUGGAGAACUCCCACCCAUCUCUUUAGCUUGGUAUGUGGGGAGCAAC